rnacentral:tRNA from 1 species
GCAGUGCUAGUUCAGUGGUAGAAUUCCCACUUUCCAAAUAGGAGGCCCGAGUUCAAUUCUCCGCCAAUGUA